ACUCUGAUUCUGGGGCUCAGGGAGUUUGCAAGGGGCGUUUCUGCCCAUGGUCAGGCUUGCAAGCCUUGGUCCCUGGGCCC
rnacentral:miRNA from 1 species